AAAGUCGUAACAAGGUUUCCGUAGGUGAACCUGCGGAAGGAUCAUUAACACUUUUUCGGUUCUGUUCCAGUUGAGUGCAGAGUUGUUCUUUAUUGAGCGAUUCUCCUCGAUUGGAGCGAACUCAUCAUCCAAAUACCCAAACUGAAUUGCUUGUGGAGAAUGCUAUGACAAAAACAAAACAACUACUUUAACGUAACCAAACAACUCUUAGCAACGGAUAUCUUGGCUCUC
rnacentral:misc_RNA from 1 species